CAUUUAAUAGAGUUAACUAUACUCUUACUCUAUGUACUGCCAAGCUGUGUAAAUUGUGGCGGUUAGAUUAGUUAAGGAUGUUAUGCAUGGCUAGAAAGUUAGUUAGUCACUUAAAUGACGUGGCACUUAGUUGCUUCUGUACUAGUCAUUGUAUUUCACUUUAUAAAUACUUAAGCAGAAGCUCAACACAAGUGAACGAAUUCAGUAUCAUCAUUUUACACCAAAAUCACCUUUUCUUCUCUAAGAAAUUCCCUUAACAGUUCUC
rnacentral:lncRNA from 1 species